rnacentral:rRNA from 1 species
UACGUAGGGUGCAAGCGUUAAUCGGAAUUACUGGGCGUAAAGCGUGCGCAGGCGGUGAUGUAAGACCGAUGUGAAAUCCCCGGGCUUACCUGGGAACUGCAUUGGUGACUGCAUUGCUGGAGUAUGGCAGAGGGGGGGUGGAAUUCCACGUGUAGCAGUGAAAUGCGUAGAAGAUGGUGGAGGAACACCGAUGGCGAAGGCAGCCCCUGGGCCAACUGACUGACGCCUCGAUGCACGAAAGCGUGGGGAGCGAAACAAGG